UACGGGGGGAGCAAGCGUUGUUCGGAUUUACUGGGCGUAAAGAGCGUGUAGGCGGCCAGAUAGGUCUGCUGUGAAAACUCGAGGCUCAACCUCGAGAUGUCGGCGGAAACCAUUUGGCUAGAGUCCGGAAGAGGAAAGUGGAAUUCCUGGUGUAGCGGUGAAAUGCGCAGAUAUCAGGAAGAACACCCGUGGCGAAGGCGGCUCUCUGGAACGCAACUGACGCUGAGACGCGAAAGCGUGGGGAGCAAACAGG
rnacentral:rRNA from 1 species